UAAGGAGGGUGCGAGCGUUGUUCGGAAUUACUGGGCGUAAAGCGCGUGUAGGCGGAUAUAUAAGUCAGGUGUGAAAUCCCUUGGCUUAACUGAGGAAGUGCAUUUGAAACUGUAUAUCUUGAGUACGAUAGAGGAGAGUGGAAUUCCCAGUGUAGAGGUGAAAUUCAUAGAUAUUGGGAAGAACACCGGUGGCGAAGGCGGCUCUCUGGAUCGAUACUGACGCUGAUACGCGAAAGCGUGGGGAGCAAACAGG
rnacentral:rRNA from 1 species